ensembl:lncRNA
GAAUUGCUAUAUGCCACCUUAUACAAGAAAUAAACAUGUUGACUAUAUAACAAUUCCUAGUAGCAUUCUGGAGAACAGAAAAUGUCAAAAAAAAAAAAAAAAAAAAGUAUAUUAAUGCUUUCAGAAAAUCAGGGAAGAUACAAGUCACUGUUUCUACCCAUGAGGCUCAACUGUGAGCCUAAACAGGUUGCCCAAGGAGGCUGUGGACGCCCCAUCCCUGAAGGCAUCCAAGGCCAGGCUGGAUGUGGCUCUGGGCAGCCUGGUCUGCUGGUUGGUGACCCUGCACAUAGCAGGGGGGUUGAAACUCGAUGAUCACUGUCGUCCUUUUCAACCCAGGCCAUUCUAUGAUUCUAUGAGCACCUGGGAGAUGAAAUCUAGUUCUGUUGUGUAGCUCAACUGUGUGGCUGGGCUAUGCAAGGGAAAGGACUAGAAUAGAAUCAUGGAAUAUCCUGAGUGGGAAGGGACCCAUAGGGAUCAUUAAGUCCAACCCACACAGCACCACCCAAAAAUCAAAACUGUGUGUCUGAAAGUACUGUCCAAACACUCCCUGAGCUCCAGCAGCUCAAGGCCGUGCGCCCUGCCCUGGUGGGCUGCCUGUCCCAUGCCCACCGCCCUCUGGGGCAGACCCUUUCCCCGAUAUCCAGCCCGAAUGGGAUGGCCAUGCGCGCUCAAACAGCAGGGCAGCCAGGCACAGUUGUGUGUUGCUGUAUCUUUGCUCUUCAACGCAGCUGUUGUGGAUGUAAAGAGCCUACAAAGAGAAAACAAGGAGUUGUAAAGUUUUUCCUGCAGGUUCUUGUUCAAAAGAGUCACGGCCGUGUUUUUGUCUGCCUUCAAAGCUCCGCUGCGGGUGACCCUGAUGGAAGGUGGCACAUAAGCACUGAUACCUUUGAGGAGUCACUCAGUGGUUCUUCAACCCAUGCUGUCAGAAUGUAAGGACAGGUGUGCAGGGGUUAAAAAAUCUCUUACCUGACCAUUCGCUUUAAUAGUGGACUAUGAAAGGGCAAACCUUCUUUCUAAGAGUGACUUCUGUACGAUGCAGGUGACUUCAUAUACAGUUCGUCCAGUUUCUGAACUGAUUCCUGCUUCCCUCCUUGUCUUACUGUGAGAGAAAAGAACACCACAUGUUUCCUUCUACAGUCACGUCUCCUGGCAGUAGUUCUGCUGUCUCUCAUUCCAUCGACUGAAGGCUGAAAUGGCCGUGUUCUUCCCCAGCGGUGGUACAAAGCUGUGCUGUGCCUGCAGUGCUGCCCCUCGCUUUGCUACCAACUAAUGGAGGGAGCUAUUUUUGGAAGGAGUAGUACUGUAGGGAAUAGUACUUGCACCUAACUGACCGUGGUAAUUUAUGUAUCGGUAUGUCUUUAUAUGUAUACAUACAAUGAUUGAACUGAAGAUUUCUAAUCGUGGCAUCGGGCCUUCUCAUGGCUGUAUUAUGAUGAAGUAUACAAGUUCUGUAGUUUUUGUAUGAGUAGGUUUAAAAACGAAGCUUUCCAAAGCUAACAGCGUUUAAAAACAGCUUAAAGUAUUACAGUGUGCAGAGGGAGUACGGUUCAGUUUUGCCCUUGAUAUACAAAUGAGGUUUACAUCCCUGUUGGUUUCCAUCCUCCUGCAAAGCCAUGCGCCACAGAGCUCACCCAGCCAGCAGCACGGCGCUGCAGAGGGCUGCCUGAGGUGCUUGUGGCUGCGACUGAACGCCCUGCAGACGUGUGCUCUGCACUGGGUGUUUGUCAUGGCUGUAACACACCCUGUCUCAGCCACCCGUGGAAACAGUUCUGACACAGUCCUACCGUUGUUGCAGCUGUGAUGUGCUGUCUGUCAUCGUGGAACUGCCCCCGGGUGGCUCUUAGGGUACGUGAUGGCAAUGGGGACGUUUGCUAUGAAGACUACUGGUACAUACAAAAAACUGACUCUGACAUAUGGUUGUUGAACAAAGCUGGACCUGGUCUUCAUGCUGAAAUUUGGUCGAGUCAGGCUCUCCGUGUUCCUGCAGGGCACUUGGCUACAGGAACAACGUCUUUCCUCUGUCUGUCUUUGCUGGCGCUCCCUCGUCCUGCUCACAUCUUUCAAACAGAAUCCGCUCAGACACGAAAUGUGGGAAUGUACAAAUUCAGAGCAGUUUCAGGGAGCGAAGUGUGGCUCUAUUGAUGUUGCUGCGUAAUUCUAUUUCUUGCUUUUGCUUCUACCUUUGCUAAAUCUGCUUGAUUUCUCUGUGUCUUUCUGUGCAGGUUACAAAAGUACGAUCUCUUGCAGCCCUUAGGAUAGGAACGAGGUAGAGAUCAGCAGAAGACCUGGGGUCUGCCAAGGCCUGCUGCUGCGCCUCUAAAUCUGGACAGUUUUCAGCACUUUACCUUAAGUGCUGCCUGGUCCACAAAGACUUUUCGGGACGGACCGGGAAGCGCAAUUCCAGCAUCUCGUUAACAUUUGGUUCUCUCAUGCUCUCUCGAAAUCUUUCCUUUGUUGUCUUUUCCUGGGAGAAAAUGAGCGCUUUGAAGUACUCCAGUUGUUUUCCCCCGUAAAACGGGAGCUCAUACCGAUGUAUUAACCUUUAACAUGUGAUGGAACGUGUUAGAGUGAGCGGUGAUGUGACCCUGCCAAGGGUUGGGGCACUUGAAGGCUUUGACCACCGUGUGGGAAGCCUGACUGUAUCCAGCCUGGGUAGAGCGAGAUGAAGGUAGAUACUUUCCAAGUUUUAUUGGUUUUCUACACCCUUUCUAACAGCCCUGAUGAUGCAGGAAUACUGUCAGGUAUUUUUUAAUGUAAAACUACCGAUUUGCUAUGUCUGUACAUACGUUUCCAGUGUAAGAACCUGUCGCUAUCUGCCUUUUGUACGCUAUUAGAACGUGCAUACUGUGUAUACGUAACUGCAAUGAAUUGUGCACCCUGCACAAAAGCCUGAAUAAAUGGGUUUUAAUGUU